rnacentral:lncRNA from 1 species
CAGAGACCCAGAUCAGACUUCUUCCAUGGCUGCGCUUGCUGGUCUCCACACAAUGAGAAAUAGAUACUUAAGGUUGCUGCCAUAUAUCAAAGAGUGUGGACCAUCCUGGAAUGUGUCCUCUGAAAUACAUAUAGACUGCCAGGACUUUAACGAG